GACGAACGCUGGCGGCGUGCUUAACACAUGCAAGUCGAACGGUGAAAGCGGAGCUUGCUCCGCUGGAUCAGUGGCGAACGGGUGAGUAACACGUGGGCAACCUGCCCCUCACUUCGGGAUAACUCCGGGAAACCGGGGCUAAUACCGGAUAUGACCUCCUUGGGCAUCCUGGGAGGUGGAAAGCUUUUCGGUGAGGGAUGGGCCCGCGGCCUAUCAGCUUGUUGGUGAGGUAGUGGCUCACCAAGGCGACGACGGGUAGCCGGCCUGAGAGGGCGACCGGCCACACUGGGACUGAGACACGGCCCAGACUCCUACGGGAGGCAGCAGUGGGGAAUAUUGCGCAAUGGGCGAAAGCCUGACGCAGCAACGCCGCGUGCGGGAUGACGGCCUUCGGGUUGUAAGCCUCUUUUAGUAGGGAAGAAGCGAAAGUGACGGUACCUGUAGAAAAAGCACCGGCUAACUACGUGCCAGCAGCCGCCGUAA
rnacentral:rRNA from 1 species